rnacentral:lncRNA from 1 species
UUUUUUUUUUUUUUUGUUUGUUUGUUUGUUUUUGUCUUUUUGCUAUUUCUUUGGGCCGCUCCUGUGGCAUAUGGAGGUUCCUAGGCUAGGGGUCUAAUCGGAGCUGUAGCUACUGGCCUACGCCAGAGCCACAGCAACGUGGGAUCCAAGCUGCGUCUGCAACCUACACCACAGCUCAUGGCAACGCCGGAUCAUUAACCCACUGAGCAAGAGCAGGGACCGAACCCGCAACCUCAUGGUUCCGAGUCGGAUUCGUUAACCACUGCGCCACGAACCAUGAGGCCAGUAUGUCUGUUUUUUUUUAAUGAACCCCAAACUAUGGAAAUAGUCAAGAUCUCUCUCAAACUCCGAGGGGCUGUGGUAAAAGGGAAUGGGCCAGGAAAAGGGCAGCAGAACCCUUGCAGAGGGAGCGAGGUCUUCCAUGUGUCUCAGUUCUCUGAAGCUCAGCUGGGGGUAGGGGUGGAAGUCCAUUGAUCUCCCACGUGCUGACAGAGCCACAUUUGGCUGUCCCUGGAGCUGGCAUCAAGGAGAGACCAGAUCCCCUUCGAGUAGUUCCUGCCCAACAGAAUGCAGACAGAUGCUGGGGGAGGAGGUGGCCCCCAUGGAGAGUCCUCUGCCCAUGGGCUGCUGUUUCCCACCUUCCCUGGUGAGCUUUUGGAGGCUGAAUUCAAAGGGUGCGCAGCAAGGGCCCUGGUUCCACUGGCGAGCCUUCCAGUGCUGUAUGCAGAGAAGCUGGACGUGCCCUAGACCUUGAGGUGGAGACUUUUAAACCCAUGUCUAUAGGUUUUUUCAGAUGAUAACUGUACAGUGGGAAAGUCUUCUCAAUGCCCUAGCACCUCAGUUAGAGGUGCCAUUGCUAACAGGAAGGGGGAGCACAAGGGGUUAGGCUAAGUAAUAAAAAAAAACAGUCAGUUCUAAACUAGUGGUAAUAACAGAGCCCAGGAUGAUGCAAUAGUCUCCUACGGUAGCUGUAACAAAUUACCACAAACUGGAUUUCCCGUUGUGGCUCAGUGGUUAACAAAUCCAGCUAGGAACCAUGAGGUUGCGGGUUCGAUCCCUGGCCAUGAGCUAUGGUGUAGGUUGCAGACACGACUCAGAUCCUGUGUUGCUGUGGCUCUGGUGUAGGCCGGCGGAUCCAGCUCCAAUUGGACCCCUGGCCUGGGAACCUCCAUAUACCACAGGAGUGGCCCAAGAUAAUGGGAAAAAGACCAAAAAAAAAAAAUUACCACAAACUGAAAACAACGUGGAUUUAUCAUCUGUAGCCCUGGAGGUCAGAAUUCCAAAAUAGGUUUCACUGGGCUAAAAUCGAGGUGUCAGCAAAGUUGCAAUCCUUCCAAGGUUCUAGGGGGGCAUCUGUUUCCUUGCCUUUCCUGGCUCCUAGACACACAUUCCUUGGCUUGUGGCCCCUUCCUCCAACCCCAAAGCCAGCAAUAGUAAAGCAGGUCCUUCUCACACAGCAUCUCUGUGGUUCUGUCUUCCGAGUCCCUCUUCCACCUUUACCCUUAUGAUUACCUUGGGUCCACCCAGAAAUCAGGCUAGUCUCUCUAUUUUUUUUUUAAUUUCUUUUUCUUGGCAGUUUUUCUUUUUUUUCCCCAGUUUUAUUGAGAUAUAAUUGACAUGUAUUCAUUUAAGCUGUAUAACAUAAUGAUUUGCUAUAUGUCUAUACUGUGAAAUGAUCAUCACAGUAAAGUUAGUUAACAUCCAUUAUCUCACAUGGUUACAAUUUUUUUCCUUGUGAUGAGAGCUUUAAAGAUCUAUUGUCUUACCUAUUUAUUUGUAGUCUAUGAAAAUACCAAAUUUCCAUAUUUUAAAGUCAGCUGAUUAGCAACCUUAAUUCCAUCUGUAACCGUAACUGCUCCCCCUUCCCUGCCACAUAACCUCACAAGUCCCAGGCAUGGGAGGUAGAGGUCUUUGGGAAGUCAGUGUUCUGCCUGAUACAGAUGACAUGUAUUCACUACAAGUGGAGAUCAAGCAGUUUUUCAUUAACAGACACAUACUGAGUGCUGAGUUGCACCCAGAAGGUAAAUAAUAGACACAAGGAGAGAAGACAAUGUGACAAGUAACACGAUGUAGGCCUCCGAAAAAAGGAAGGCUCGCUCAGCUCAGUGACACAGGGAAAUCUUCAUGCUGAUCUUGCUGUUUACCCAAGAAUCUCACUUAUUCCCACCACUUUCCUGACCAUGUCAGAGCUACAAAAAAAUAAGUGGACAGGAGUUCCCGUUGUGGUGCAGUGGAAGUGAAUCUGACUAGUAUCCAUGUGGAUGCAGGUUUGAUCCCUGGCAUCGCUCAGCGGGUCAGGGAUCUGUUGUUGCCAUGAGCUGUGGUGUUAUGUCACAGUCAUAGCUUGGAUCCUGUGUUGCUGUGGCUGUAGGCCAGCAGCUGCAGAUCCAGUUUGACCCCAAGCCUGGAAACUUCGAUGUGCUGCAGGUGCAGCCCUAAAAAAAAAUAAUAAUAAUAAGUAGAAAAAUGGCCCAGUGGGCCAUCUUCAUCAUGGCUGAUAUUUAAUUGAGCACUUACUGCAUACCAAGAACAGUUCUGAGAUGCUUUAUUUAUACGAACUCAUUAAACCCUCUCAACAAUCCAAUGUGGCAAAUGCUGGUAUCUCUAUUUGGUAGAGAAGGACACUGAGACCCAGAGUUUGCAUAACUUGCCCAAGUUCACAGAGCCAGAAAAUACUCUUGUUCUUCCUCCUUCUGGUGGCUGAUUUGUCACUGAUGUCACAAAGACAGGGAGAAAAGAGUGACAGUAGUAAUAAUGGUAAUAGAAAUGGAUUAACUCAAUAAUAAGUAAUAAAUUAUAAUAAUAAGGAGAAAACACUCACGUUUUCAGUACAAAGUGUUCUACAUACAAUAACUCACUUAAUCCCAGGAAUAACCCUGAGAUAUAAUUAUUAUCCCACUGUACUGAUAAAUACAUAGAAACAGAAAGACAUCAACUUGUUCACCUGUUCAAAAAGUGGAGUUCCAGUGCAUCUAGCUUCAAAACCUGUGCUUGGGCAGAGAAAAGCAAGGAGAAAAAUUAUAGCGCCGUGCAAUGGUUCCCAAACUUCAUUUGCUUCAGAAUCUCCUGGAAGGCUUGUUAAAAUCCAGAUGUUUCUGAUUCAGGGGGAAUCUAAUGAGAUCUAGACUGCUAAGCUGUGGCUAUGGUAGAAGGAAAUAAGAGCUUCCUUGUUCUUGUUCAGCUACACUGAACCUUGACUUUGCCCUCAACCAUCAUGUGAAAAACAUGAGUGAAAUGAUCCUGGAGUUGGGACUCCCAGAAACCUGGAAAACUAUUUCAUCUUAGGAGAACCGUCCUAAAGCCAACUCUAUUCUCCCGGAAUUUCUCCUGAUAACACCGAUGGCUUCAAAACCCUGGGUGGUUUGUUAGGACUGAGAAAAGAGCUUGGAGAAAGGAGCAUUUAAAUAGAUCCUAUCAUUCCUUUUAUUCUUUAAAGGGUAAGCACUGUCUCAUAUCAAACGUUUCGCUUUCGGUCAUGGCCUUGAGACAAAACCGGUGUCCCCAUCUUUUGGAUUUGGUGAAAGGUUAACUUCAUUUUUCCCAGAAGGAGUCCCAUCCCUCUGCCAACCUCCUGGUCCCCAAGGCAGCAUUAACCACUGAUCACAACUCUCAGCUUGCACUUCCAGACAUGUCUGGUCAAUGUUUCUUUUAAGAUGCUAAAAUCACCAGAAAGAGCUGUAGACUCUGAGAAACUUUUUAGUUGUUAAGCUAGGACCACAAAAUUGACUUACUGAACAUUUUUAAUAUUAUCUCCUUUGGACACAAAAUAUAUUCCCAGGAUAGUUAAUCUGAUAAAAUGAGAGGCCAAUGUCAUGAUUCAUUAGAGAGAUAAUUCUUGGAGAAGUAACAUCCAGGCUCUGGAGUAGGGGCUGAUAAAAAUUUGGCACACAGGGCCAUGAGCAUCAGGAAAGCCUGGUAUCUGUUAUGCAAGCUUGUGAGAAAAUCAAAGCUUAAGGAAGUCCAAGUCUCUAUUUUCUAAACAUUGCAGACUUCUGUGCACUUGUGCACACACAUUCCUAGAAACGGGGGUCCUGCCUCCCUACAAAGGGCCACAUGGGGAAGCACCAGGAUUGGUCAGGAGGCAGAAAAAGUGAGGGGCAAUGUGGGUGAGAGCCUUUAUUGUGGUUUUUGUGGGAAGGAUCAGGUGAGGCAGGGUAAGCAGGCUUAUGAUUUGUGAGUUUGAAUAAACUCAGCAAGUUCUGGGGCAUGGGGGCUGUCCCUCGUUGUCUAGUAGCUGGUGUUGGAGAGAUCAGGGCAGGUGGAUGGAGGCCCAGAGUGUGAGAAUCUAGUAGAUAAGAUGGUUGGGGGCAUGGGCUCUGCUGUGAUUGGUUUGCAUUUGAAAGGCACACUCUCGGGCAUGUAGGUAUUACCUCUAGGAAUUAGCUAAUCCUGGGAAUGGAAGAGCAGUCCCUCUGGGGCCAUCAAGGCCCCCAAGAUGUCAGAUCAUCAGAAUACAGAAAAAUAGAAAGACAUGAUUAAUAGAUACACACACAAGUACACACACACAGAGAGGGGAAAAUUUACAGCACAAUACCAUACCUCAGGCAGCUGUUUGGUUGCAGGAUUGUUUUGUUUCUUCUCUAGACCCUUUGUUGACAGUAGAUGCUUUUUUUCCCUGCAAGUGACUGGCUUGGUAGUGGAUGUCCCUGG